ACCUGGAGGCAGCGGCUUGGGCGCGCAGAGCGGCCGCGGCUCCCCCGCACCUGCGGCCAUGGAUGAGGAGCGCGCCCUCUACAUCGUCCGGGCCGGCGAAGCGGGGGCUAUCGAGCGGGUCCUGAGGGAUUACAGCGACAAGCAUAGGGCUACUUUCAAAUUUGAAUCAACAGAUGAAGAUAAAAGAAAGAAACUCUGUGAAGGCAUAUUUAAAGUCCUUAUAAAGGACAUCCCAACAACAUGUCAAGUGUCCUGCCUAGAAGUACUCCGCAUUCUCUCCAGAGACAAAAAGGUUUUAGUUCCUGUAACAACUAAGGAAAAUAUGCAGAUACUGCUGCGACUAGCCAAGCUAAAUGAGUUGGAUGAUUCUUUGGAAAAGGUGUCGGAGUUCCCAGUUAUUGUGGAGUCAUUAAAAUGUCUGUGUAACAUAGUGUUCAACAGUCAGAUGGCACAGCAGCUCAGCCUGGAACUUAAUCUUGCUGCAAAGCUCUGUAACCUCCUGAGAAAGUGCACGGACCGGAAAUUUAUCAAUGACAUUAAGUGCUUUGACUUGCGCCUACUCUUCCUUCUGUCACUUUUGCACACCGACAUCAGGUCACAAUUGCGCUAUGAGCUCCAGGGACUACCGCUGCUAACCCAGGUCUUGGAAAGUGCCUUUAGCAUCAAGUGGACCGAUGAGUAUGAAUCGGCCAUAGACCAUAAUGGACCUCCUCUCUCACCUCAGGAGACAGACUGUGCCAUUGAGGCCCUCAAAGCUCUCUUCAAUGUGACGGUAGACAGUUGGAAGGUCCAUAAAGAGAGUGAUUCUCAUCAGUUUCGUGUAAUGGCAGCUGUCCUUCGUCAUUGUUUACUAAUCGUAGGUCCAACUGAAGACAAAACAGAAGAGCUACACAGCAAUGCAGUCAACCUUUUAAGCAAUGUUCCGGUCUCUUGUUUGGAUGUUCUCAUUUGUCCAUUAACCCAUGAAGAAACAGCCCAAGAGGCAACGACUCUAGAUGAACUGCCCAGUAAUAAAACAGCUGAGAAAGAAACAGUUUUGAAAAAUAAUACCAUGGUAUACAAUGGUAUGAAUAUGGAAGCCAUUCAUGUUUUACUCAGUUUUAUGGAGAAGAGAAUAGACAAGGGAAGCAGCUAUAGAGAGGGUCUAACUCCAGUUCUUAGUUUAUUAACCGAAUGUUCCCGAGCCCAUCGAAACAUCCGAAAAUUUCUCAAAGAUCAGGUUUUACCACCGUUGAGGGAUGUGACAAAUCGACCUGAAGUUGGCUCAACUGUGAGAAAUAAGCUGGUGCGCCUCAUGACACAUGUUGACCUUGGAGUCAAGCAAAUUGCUGCUGAAUUCCUUUUUGUCCUUUGCAAAGAGAGAGUGGAUAGUCUGCUGAAAUAUACUGGCUAUGGGAAUGCUGCAGGACUGUUGGCGGCCAGGGGCCUCUUGGCUGGAGGAAGAGGAGAUAAUUGGUACUCAGAGGAUGAGGACACAGACACUGAAGAAUACAAAAAUGCAAAACCAAACAUUAAUCUUAUCACUGGUCAUUUAGAGGAACCAAUGCCAAACCCCAUAGAUGAAAUGACAGAAGAACAAAAAGAAUAUGAAGCCAUGAAACUUGUCAACAUGCUUGAUAAACUUUCCAGGAGAGCAGAUGUGAAGGACCUGCACCAGGAUGGUGGUUAGCAACAGUGGCCCGUGCCAAAGCACUUACCAAAGUGAUGAUGACUAAGUUUCUAAAUUGGAACCAGACCUAGUUAAUCUUCUGCUUAUCCUUACCCCAUCACUGUCUAACAGGGUACAUUGCCUUUUUGCUUAUAUAUUCUGCCAUCAAAAUCUGUUUUAAAAUUUAUAUUAAUGAAAGAUAAUUGUUCUACCAUUUCUUCCUUUUCUUACUCCUUAGCCAAUAAGUGUUUUGUUUUCCCUUUUUGCCGGUCACCGUGUACUAUUUAGAACAUGACUUUUAUAAUAAAUGCAGGUACAGAUACAGGAUUAGUUCCCUUUAAUCAAAAGAUUAAUUUUAAACUUACUAAGGCUGAAACAGGUAGUUUAUAACUGAAAAAUAACAUAGUUUUUUCUUAUAAAUAAAUUAUUUUACUCUCCUCACAAAAAUAUCAACAACUGUGUUUAUACCUCCCUUUGUGAUAAAGUUAGUGAAGGAAAUGCUUUUCAGGCACAUUUCACAAACAUGAUGUAAUUUUUAGAGCAUUGUAAGAUCUGUUAUAGAUAUGAAAAUAUAAAGAUCCUGUUUUCAUCAGAAAAUUCUGUAGAUCUACCCUGUCCAGUAUGGUAACCACUAGCUAUAUAUGACUAUUGAGCACUUGAAAUGUGGUUAGUCCAAAAUGGGAUGCCCUAUCAGUGUAAAAUACUCAGCACAAAAAUGUAAAAUAUCUCAUUGUUUAAUAUGGAUUAUAUAUGGAAAUAUUUUUGCUACAUUGGGUUAAAUAAAAUAUUAAAAUUAAUUUUACCUAUUUUUCAAUGUGGCUACUAGAACAUUUAAGAGUACAUAUAUUUGGCUUACAUUGUGGCUUACAUUAUAUUUCUAUUAGACAGUGCUGUUAUACCUCAUUUAAAUACACUGUAAGAUUGCUUGGAAGUUGAAUUAAGAGGACUUGGAUCCAGCUAUAUUAAUAUAUCCUUAAGGUCAGGGGAGGAUUAAUUCGAGAAGCUUGAUAUUGUCUAUCCUUAGGUUUGGGAGAUGUUUCCAAUGGCUAGACACCUUUAAGUAGGAUACAAGGCUACCUUUAUAUUGCCUAAUUGUAAUCAUUGUUCUUUAGCUCUGUAGUGGGAAUAACUAUUUUGAGCUCCUGGUUAAAGUACUGUCUGAAAUGGCUUUUGACUAGCAGAGAAACAUCAAAUAAGAAUCAUCUCCACUGACUGUUUGCUCUCUUAGUUCUCUCCUGAUUCUUUAACUUUUAAGUCUUCCUAAUUGGGAAGAGCAUUAAGAACUUCUGUUUCUGCUACUUUAUUCAACAGUGUCAGUUGGCAUGCCCACCUCUUAUUAAUAUUUAUUUUGUUAAUUUGGACAACAGAAUAGAAAAAUUAUGUAAAUAAAUUACCAAGAAAUAAUUUUUAAAACCACUUAGAGAUAAAACUGAACUUUAUUCUUUCAGUACUAUACCUUAUCUCUCUUUCUGUAUAUUUUCUUAACCAUGUUGUUUACUGUGAGGUGGGUAGCAGAUUUUUAGAAACUUUGCAUGUGAUCUAACAGAAAUGAGAACAAUGACAAAAGACUAACAUUUAUAUAGUGUUUUAAGGUUUAAAAAAUGCUUCCAUAUAUGUUAUCCCCAUUGAUUAUUAAAAUAGCCCUGUAAAUUAAGUAGGGUCAGAGGUAUUUUUUUAAGGAUUAAAUGCACCAAAGAUUAAGUGACUAAUCCAAGUUCAGUUAUCAGUCUUGAGACUACAGAUUGCAUGCUAUUGUGAAAAUUACCAACAGCUCUCAAAAGUUGUCAGUCUAAUUAUUUUUAAGUAAGACAUUCUAAAUUUUAAAUCAAUGAAAAGCACAAAAGACAGAUAGUAAGCAUAUUUACCUUAGAAGAGAACUAAGAUUUCGAGGACGUGCAUUACUGCUUUUUCAUUCUAUAGUUGAGCUCUUUGCAAGUAUCAGGUCAAAUGCUAAAUAGCUUAUGUUUUAAAAAACAAAGCUUUAUGAAGGAAACAAGUAAAAUUUCUAUGAUUCCAUGUUAAUACAAGGUUUUUAAAUUGUUUUAAAAAGAGAAUGAUUAUGGCUCUUCUGACAAAUCCUUAUACAUGUGAUCACAUUAAUAAAACCUAACUUAUAAAAGGCUUCUGUAUGGGACUGUUUACCAAGCUUGUUCAACCUGCAGCCCAGGAUGCCUUUGAAUGCCACCCAACACUAAUUAAUUAACUUUCUUAAAACAUUAUGAAAUGUUUUUGCAUUUUUUAAAGCUUAUCAGAUAUCAUUAGUAUUAAGUGUAUUUUAUGUGUGGCCCAAGGCAAUUCUUCUUCUUCCAGUGUGGCCCAGGAAAGCCAAAAGAUUGGACACCCCUGGUUUAGACAAUUACCAAUUACAAGACAUGGUAAUGUGGGGACAGUAUGCCAUAUCCAUUUGUCUCGGGUAACAGUAUUUUUAGGUGGCAUAUUUUACUUUCCCAAUUGUACCCAAUCCUGAAGCACAAUGAUGAGGGCUGAGGGUAGGAUCUCAGAAUCGUCUUUGAAAGAUGUAGCCUAGACCUCAAAUUUGCUAUGGAAAAGCUGCCAUACUCAUUCCUACUGAGUCAGUGGCUUAGUGAAAGAUCAGUAUAACCAGUCAGCACUAGGAAGUCAUUAGAUGAAAGAUGAAGGACUAGAGUUAAAGCCCAAAGGACAAUUUCACAGUAUCUAACCGAACAUGUUAACCAGUCCAAAGGUUAUAUUAUUUCUGUGAGAAAAAGGUAAAAACAUUUAUAAGAAUAUCACAAGUUAUUGAGAAACCCGUUAUACUUCAGUGGAUUAUGAACUAUUCCAGUAAUGCUGAAAUCUUGAUACACUCCCAAACUUUGGACUUUUAACAAAGAACUACAGAGCUUCCUUCUCAGGGCUAUCACAGGCUCCAUUCUAACAGGCAUUUUUUGAAAAGCUCUAUGUUAAUUAAAAUGCUUUAUUUAUAUACUAAUAUCUCAUCCCAUCUUUCAAAUGUGAAAAGGAAUUAAAUAUGAAAUGGCUAAUUUAAAAUGUCAGGAUUUCUUUUUUCCAAGCCAACCUUACAUUAAGAGCAGGAAUCCUGUGCCUAAGAAAUGGUUCCCAAUUAUCCUGUCUUGGGUUUUGUUAUACAUUGUACAGAAGUCAACAAAACAAGUAUGUAACAGAACCUGCCUAAAUAGCAGCUGCCCUCAUUAAAAACAGAGAAUUAAUCAGGGGGUGACUGAAGGAAGCAGUGCCUCAUAUGUUUCCCCCCCUUUUCUUCUUUUCUAAUCAUAGAACAAAAUAUGUUACAUAAAAGGAUCAGAACUAUUAUGCAGUACUCAAUUAGAGGGAGGUGAAUAGGUCUCUAACAUGCUGUUUUAUCAAAAGAGCAGACUGGUGUUUGCAUGACUGUUGUUUCAUUACAGACCCUGUCAUUAAUUCCAUGUGUCAAUACUGCCCUGUAGUACACAGAGCAGACAAGAAAGAAGAGCCCUUGAAAACAAGGGAAUGAUUUUUGAGUCGUUAUCAAGCUAAGUGGCAAGCGGGAAGCUGAAACUCGUAUAGGUAAAUUCGAAGGGACUCUUGGGAGAUCUGCAAGUGGGAAACAAGAAUGCAUUUUAUCAACUGCUUAAUUAUGUCCUGUUUUUCAACAAGUACACUUGAAUUGAAUGUUUUGUUUAUACUGCACAAAACCAUGUGCUGUGGGCAAGAGUAUUCUCUUGCUUUCAGGUCAAGUAAGGUGUUUUAUACACAUACAUGUCUGACCUAUUCUAUAAUGUGCAAUUGGGUAUGUUAGUAUCUGAACCCCAAUAUUGCACUGUCAUUUUUGGGGGAAAGUCAUAUAGGAACCAGAAGCCCUAAAAAGUGGGACCUUCUCUAAGGUUCUGAGCAAUUAUAUGAGCCCAGGCAUCCCAGAGUAUACCAUACUUUCAGGGAAAUGGUGGCUCAGGAAAAUGUUAAAAUAUAUCUGGAAAAAAAAAAAACAGACCAGAAUAUUUUGAAUAUGAUGUAAAUUUCAUAAUCUCCCAUCCCUAAAUCUUUAAGAAAGUAUUUUUUUGGUUUCCAUUAGCAGUCCCAAGGGCUAGGCUGGGGCAAAAUAGGGUUUCGUUUCUUGGACGUGCUUUAUCUGUGUCCUCUUGCCUGGCCAAGCCCUUAUAGAUUAUGGUUCCUUAUCGUUUAGUAAGAUCAAAUUUCUAAAUGAUGUUUCGUUCCAGUUGAACAUUCUUGGAGGCUUAUCUCUUCCCUGGCCAGAUGCCUGAUCAGAUGAGAAGCCCGCCAUGAUACUGUCACAGUGCCUAGAAUGGGCUCUUUAUCCAGUAGACAUCACUGUACUUUUUGAUACGAGGGCAGUCUUAACUUGUGUUAAGGCCUGUGUGUAGCAUUGAAGAGAGGAGUUGCUUAAACCAAUGGGACUAAAACCUGAUGGGACAAUAACGCCUUUGGAGGAAGCACUCAACCAGUACUCUGUCAUCGAAGAGACCAGCUCUGACACAGACUAAAAGCAUCACCUGCUCAACUCUCAAUAUUGCUUUAUCAGCAUCUUUUCUCUGUAGCUCCAGGGGAAUCUUUUCUCUAAAACAUUUAUGCCCUUGCUUUGGCUAGAAACACAUUAACUGGUUUACUCAUUGAGAAUCCAGCAUAUUUAAGAGGUGACCCUGUGUUUUUUGCGAUAUUGAGGCAUUUAUACAGAGCUGCAGUUAGACGGAGUUACAGGGGCUA